rnacentral:lncRNA from 1 species
CUUUAACAUGCUUACAGAGAGGUUUCUGCACUUGGACUUCUGUUCUAAUAUGCUGUAAUCUUCUUUGUUUGCCUGUGCUUUAUAAUGGAGAUAAAACAAAGAUGUUAAUUGUAAACUAAUACUAUUUGGCAGUUUGAGGAAGAGGCAUCUGAACAGAUGCCUGAAGAACAUGAACAAACCGGUCAUAUGAAGAUGUAGGAUCAGAAUGUUCAGGAAAAAGAAAAAGCAAGUGAAAACUUUUACAGUCAGAAUGAGCUUGGCUUAUUUGGAGAAUAGGCGAUGAAAUAAACAGAGACUUGCAACAAAUAGGAGAGCAGCAAUUGAAGAACCGUGGUUACACUGCAAAGGAUAUCAAUGCUCACAGCAUCUCAGAGCGCUAGUCUACCCUGCCACCCUUAUGGAUAAUAUAUUUCUGGACUUUCAGGCCCUAGUUGGAAAAGAAAACAUGAACUCCCGCAGCUGCCACCUACUCAGUCGCGGAUGUGACAGGCUGAUGGUGCACUCCCUGGGAUUCCAUUGAACAAACACCACGCCUUCUGAGCCGACUGGAAUUCUGUGUUCCACCACAAACACUGUGAGUGGCGCAGCAAGGAACAGCAGACAUGCGUGUGCGAGUCUCACCUCGCCUCACAUACAUGCACUAUGGUCCCAUUGGGUCUCAAUUGUGAAACACAAGUUCAAAGAUGAAGGUGCUGAGAAUUUCAAGACUGUAGCAGUAGAGGACUAGACUAAAUGUGAGCCCUUCUGAGUGUGGGGCUUGCAUGACUGCACAGCUUAUGGGCCAUGGAGCUGGUCCUCUCUCCCACCCGCUGGUUCCAGCAGCCCUGGCUCUCCACAUGUGGAUCUAGGCCUCGUCUCUGUCUGCAAUAGGAACAUUAUUCUUGGGCAGAGAGCCUGCGUAUAUUGGGUGUUUUUUGUGUAUUUCCUUUCUCUCAAGGAUAACGACCCUCUUACAGCUAUUUACCUAGUAUCUGAAAAAUGUUGCCUCACCUUUUUUUUCCCUCAGUUUUAUAGCUAUUUAAGGAAAUAUGGUAAGUCUAGUACCAAUCAAUUACUCUCAUAGAUGAAAAGUUGAAGUUGAAUUAAUUUUGUUUUAACUUUGCUUGCAAAUUCUUAGCUUUAUUUUCUAUUAUUGUAGAUAGUUAUGAUUAUUACAUAAUUUGAUUCACUUGAAAACUCUCAUUAAAUCAUAGUAAAUUAUUACAUUAAACAGAGUGACAUUCUUAUGUUAAUCACAUUUGAUACAUCUAUUUCUGAGCAUAGCUUUUGCUAUGUGAUUCAAUGCUCACGUUUGCUAUGUGAAUCAAUUGUGAUUCAAUGUUCUCUAUGAAGGAGUUUGUGAUCAUAAGCUAAGGUGAGAGUUGCUGAACUGUGUAUCUCAUAUACUAUUUCCGCCUUCAUGGUACUGCUGAAUGUUCUAUCUAAGGUAAUUAAAAAGAGGUGAAAAAGACAAAAUGCACUACGUAUAAUAAACCACUAGACUUGAAUUCAGAGAAACUUUUAUUCAAUGUAGGAUGUUUUAACUUGUUCACUGAACAACUAAUUUACUAUCUAUAUAGUUGAACUUUCUGAUGUAUGAGCCAAGGAUAUUUGGUGAAGCAGUCUUUAUUCUGCUCUAAAAUUCUUAUAUUUUCUAUGUGUAAUAAAUAAAAAUACCAUGUCAUGAUAUUUCAAUAUUUUAAUUAUUAUUAUCCUCCAAAUGUAAUUUAUUCUGCAAUAAAUUUAUACCACUCUGGCCAUAGUUAUAUUUAUUCAGGACUGUACAAAAGCAAAUAGGUGAAUGAUUUCUAAGCCAAAUUUUGCAUAACUUAAUUAAGGGUAACUUAGUCUGUUGGAUUAAAAUUAUUACAUUAUGCCCUGUUGCUAUGUGCAUUUUUAAUAAUUGGGAAUUGAGAGAUGAGAAAAGUUAAGAAUAAUCAGAUUUAAUUAAAACAACUCUAUUCAAUAUGUAGUCUCAUAAUUCACAUUUUAUAGUAAAGUAAAUUUUACCUGUUUUAACAUUUAUUCAAAAGAGCAUUACGUGACACAUAAUAAUUUCCUCUGCCCUACCUCUGUCAUUACUAGAGAAUUACAUAGAAAGAAAGUAUUAUUUUCUUCUGUCUGAUUAACUGCAAUAUUCUAUUCUGUUGUUGCUAGGCUACAACAGAUUUCAAUCUUUUUUAAUGUUGUUCUAUAGAAAAUAACUAAAAUGUAUUAGUCUCAGUAGGAGUAUAUUGGUGGCAAUCUCUCAAAUCAGUUGCCAUACUCGCUACAUAAAAGUAGUUAUUUUUUACCUUAAUAUGCAUAGUGAUUAAUAUAGUUCUAUUUCUAGAAGAGAGGGAGUUUAAAAUUUUUGACUAUAAAUGUCCUCUUAAAAACUUUAUGAAUUUUAAUUUUAUCUUAAAAUGACAAAGGCCCAUUUAUUUAAUAAUAUUCUUUAGAAGAAAAAUAUCUAAACA